GGACUCGUAGCAUAACGGAUAGUGCACCUGACUACGGAUCAGGAGGUUGCAGGUUCGAAUCCUGCCGGGUUCA
rnacentral:tRNA from 1 species